UGUGCAACUGAUUAUCUUUGAUUAGUUUUAUUAAAGUAUUUUAGGAGAAAAAUGAUUCAGUAUUUGCAGCAAUUUUGAAUUUCAGUUUGAUUUUAUCUGAAAAAUUUGUUUAUUAGAGACGAAAAAUACAAAAUUCGUUUGAAUUUGAGUUUAUUUGGUCAAUUUGGUUCUAAUUGUUAGAUAUCUUUGGAAGAGUCUGACAAAGUCGAACUUAUUGCAUUCAUACAUUGAUUUCAAUGGAGGAUGAUACAGCCAUUUUCAGAGAGUAAAAAAUGAAAAGGAGAAGAGCUACAACAGUACAUAUAUAAAAGGAAAGGAGAGUAUAUAUAUAAGUGUACCAGGGGUAUUUAUGUAACACCCCCCGCAAACUAGGGGUGAGGAUCAUCCCAAGUUUGUUCAAGAGACUGUUGUGUUGUUUUGAAGGCAGAAUCUUGGUCAUCACAUCAGCAAGUUGAGAGGAUGUUGGAAGAUAACUGAGUUGAAUGAGCCCUUCUAAAACUUUCUACCUUGUGAAAUGGCAAUCUAUUUCAAUGUGCUUUGUCCUUUCAUGAUAUAUGGGAUUUCUUGCAAUGUGAAUGGCACUCAUAUUGUCACAAUGCAGCACAACUGGUUUGAUGGUGGGAACCUGAAGUUCUUGGAGAAGCCUGACCAUCCAUGCUACUUCACUUGUAGCAGAGGACAUAGCUCUGUAUUCUGCCUCACUAGAAGAUUUAGAAACAGUACUUUGCUUCUUAGAUUUCCAAGUUAUGGGAGAAGAUCCAAGCAUCAAAACGUAACCAAUAACUGAUCUCCUGGUGUUGGGACAGGCAGCCCAAUCAGAAUCACUAAAGGCCUGUAAUGUAAGUUGUCCAGAACUAUUUAGGAGGAUGCCUUGCCCUUUAGUAGCUGCAAUAUAUCUCAAGGCAUGAUGAAGAGCUGCAACAUGAGGUGCUCUGGGUUCUUGUAAGAAUUGACUCAAAUGUUGAACUGUGAAUGCCAAGUCAGGCCUAGUGUGAGUUAAGAAAUUCAUUUUACCCACCAUAGUUCUGUAGUAUGUAGGAUCAUGAUAUAAUUCACCUUCCAGUUGAUGAAGCUUGAGGUUUUGAGGAAGGGGAGUGACAGCAGGUGUGAGGUCUUGAAUUUUACAAUGGGAAAGAAGUUCUCUUGUAUAUUUUGUCUGAGUGAGGCUUAUCCCAGAGGUUGUGUACCCAACUUCAAUGCCCAAGAAGAAAUGUAGUUUGCCUAAGUCUUUUAUUGUAAAGAUGUGAUGAAGAUGAGACUUAAGCUGAGAAAUACCUUGAGAAUCAUUGCCUGUGAUAAGAAUGUCAUCAACAUAAACAGCCACAAUGAUGAUAAGAGACCCUACUGUCUUAAGAAACAAACUAUAGUCAUUUUUGGACUGAAUGUAUCCUUGGGAAAUCAAUUCUGAAGUGAGCUUUGCAAACCAUUGUCUUGAAGCUUGUUUAAGACCAUAAAGAGAUUUUUGUAGUAAGCAGACCUUGCCAGAAGGAUUGGGCAAACCAUGAGGAGCCUUCAUGUAUACCUCUUCAUGCAAAUCACCAUGGAGGAACGCAUUGUUUACAUCCAAUUGCCAUAUAUCCCAAUGCUUGGAUGUUGCUAUUGCUAUGAUGCAACGUAUACUAGACAUUUUGAUUACUGGUGAGAAGGUUUCAUCAUAGUCUAUGCCUUGUUUUUGAGUAAACCCUCUGGCAACCAACCUUGCUUUGUACCUUUCAAUGGACCCAUCUGAUUUCAGUUUGAGUUUGUAAACCCAUUUGCAGCUGAUAGCCUUUUUACCCUUGGGUAAAUCAACAAGUAUCCAAGUGUUGUUGUUCUGAAGAGCAGAGAGUUCAUGUUGCAUGGCUUGUAACCAUUCCUGUUUUUGAAUAGCUUCUGAAUAGGAACGAGGCUCAUCUUGAGCUGAUACCUGAGCAAUGAAGCAUUGAUGCAUAGGGGGGAGUUGACUAUAUGAGAUUAUAUUACACCAAUUGUUAGUAGCAACAUGUGAACAAAAAUAAUCAGAGAGAUAAGCUGGUGGUUGUUUAAUUCUAUUAGAUUGUCUUGUGGGUGCAGAAACAGGGAUGGAACUUAUGUCAACUAAGUUGUCAGGCUGAAUUGGAGAAGAUGUGUUAAUAUUGGAAAGGUUUGAAGAUGAAUAUGUAUGAGGAAUAGUAUCUGAACUAAGGAUAUCUGUAUUAUGGUUUUCAGAGUGAGGUGCAGCAAACAAGGUGUGAUUAUAGUUUGUAGAGUUUAAAGGGAGAAAGAAAGGAUAAUGUGGUGUGGAAUGAGGAUUGUUAAUUGGUGAAAAAUGAAAAGGAAAGUGUUGUUCAUAAAAAAUAACAUCUCUUGAGAUAACAUUCUUUUUGUCAACCAUAUCAUAUACUUUGUAAGCCUUUUGAAGAUUUGGAUAACCAAGAAAAAUGCAUGGAUGUGCUUUGUUAUCAAAUUUGUGUCUGUGUAAAGAACUUGUUGUCAUGAAACAUAGGCAGCCAAAAGCUUUCAAAUGUGCUAUGUCAGGUGUGGUUUUAAAAAGUUUUUCAUAAGGUGAAACAAAACCCAAAGAUUGUAAUGGCAUUCUAUUAAUGAGAUAUGCAGCAGUUAAAACACAAUCACCCCAAAAAUGAAUUGGAAGAUUUGAUUGAAAGCAAAGUGCUCUAGCAGUUUCUAAUAAAUAUUUGUGUUUUCUUUCAACAACCCCAUUUUGUUGAGGGGUGUUAGCACAAGUUUUAUGAUGUAUGAUGCCUUUGGAGGAAAGAAACAUUUUCAUUUUUCCUUCACAUAAAUCUGGGGCAUUGUCUGAUCUAAUACCUUUAAUGAGUGUAUGAAAUUGUGUGGAAACAUAAGCAUAGAAAGAUUGAAAAACAGUAACAGCUUCUGACUUAUUUCUCAUUAAGAAGAGCCAAGUGACUCUUGUAAAAUCAUCUACAAUAGUUAGGAACAAAGUACAACCAUUAUGAGUACUAUUCCUAUAAGGUCCCCAGGUAUCUAUGUGCAACAAUUCAAAGGGUACAGUAGAUUUUAUUGUACUAUGACUAAAAGGAAGUCUGUUCUGUCUUGCAGCAGGGCAAAUUUUACAAAGACAAUUAUUUACAUAAUCUGAUAUAUUGAGAGAAGGUUGGACAUGUUUGAUAACAGAAAAGGGAGCAUGACCUAAUCGAAGAUGCCAAAGCUUAGCCAAAUUGAUAUUUGAUUGAGCAGAGUUGCAAGAGUAGAGAGUAGAUGCUGUGAUGGAAGUGGAUUUUGGUGUGCUUGGUGUAUCAUUCUGAUAGUAGUAUAAUCCUUUUUUGAGCCUAGUAGUAUAAUCCUUUUUUGAGCCUACCAAGCGGAAUUGGCCUGUUCAGAGAAGGGGCCUGGAUGCAACAUGAAUUAUUUGUGAAUGAUAUAGUACAAUUAAGAUCUUCACAUAAUUUGCUGAUGGAUAUAAGGUGAAAAUGGAAAUUAAGUACAUGAAGCACAUUUUGUAAAUGAUGUGCUGAUUAAGGAUAACAGAACCUACGUGUUUAACAUUUACAGAAGUGCCAUCAGGUAUAGUAAUUUUGUUAUUGUCGUGAGCUGUGAUCUUAUUAUAUGAUGAAAACAAAUUUAAAUCAUAACUCAUGUGAUUAGUUGCACCACUAUCAAGAAUCCACAUAGUGUUAUUAGAUGAGAGUAAACAAAAUUUACCAGCAAGGAAACAAGCAUUGUUUGAAUCUUCAUUAAGAGUGGGAGUAAUUUCAUGCUGUUGUUGACUAAGAAGAGUCAGGAUCUGGGAGUAUUGUUCCUGGGUAAAAGAUACAGGGGCUAAGAACUCAUUGUUGUCAGUAUGAUCAUUUGUUAUAGCAGCAGCAACUUGUUUCCCUCUCCAGUUGCCUUGAGGUAGAGUAGAAUAUUUAGAAGGAUAGCCAUGCAACUUGAAGCAUUUAUCCCUAAUAUGUCCUGUUCUUUUGCAGUAAUCACAAAACGGUCUUGAUUUCCUUGAGAUAUCAUUUUUGACUGAGUUUUGGGAAAGAGGAAGUCUAUAAAUUUGAUUAGACCUGUUGUUGCCCAAGAAAGCUUGAGGAGUCUCAGUUGUAAACUCAGAGUAGUGUCUGUGCUGUUCUUCUUGUAUUAGGAGUCUGUAAGCAUGGCUUAUAGCAGGCAGCGGAUAUUGCAUGAGCAGGUUAGAUCUAACUUGUGUAAAAGAGGAGCUGAGUUUCAUUAGAAAAAUUAUGAGCCUUUGUUCUUCUUGUAUUUGGAGAAGCUCGGAAGUCAUUCUGCAAGUGCAGCCAUUACAGACACAAGAAGGCAAAGGGUUGUAUUGCAUCUUGUUCAUCCCAUAAGAUUUUAAGUUUAGUAUAGAAAGAAGAAAUAGAGUCAGAACCUUGCUCAGUAUCAGCCAACUGUUGAAAGAUAGAAAAGAUUUGUGUGCCUGAUGUUUGUCCAAACCUUUCAUGCAGAUUGUUCCAGAUAUCAAAAGCAGUGGGAAAAUGUAGAACACUUCUUGCAAUAGGUUGAUCAAGGAUUUUCAUGAACCAAGUCAUGAGAGUGUUAUUUACUCUAUCCCAACAUUUGAUGGUAGGAGAAUUGGGUUCUGGCUUAGGGAUAGAGCCAUCAACAAAGGCUAAUUUAUUCUUUGCAGAAAGAGCAAUGACAACAGCACGUUUCCAAUCGCUAAAAUUGGUGCCAGAGAAGGGGGCAGACACAAGAAUGAAACUAGCAUCACUAGGGUGUAAAUAAUAUGGUGAUGUAUGAUCAGAAUUGAGAUCGAAAGGGGAAGAUUCUGAAGUCAUUCUAAAAAACGGUCAAAAGGAUGAUUACGCAACCAAACCCCCAAAAAAAAAAUUGAAUCAAGGACGAGAAAUCAGAGAAAAAAAAAUUGAAAGAAUAAAGAAGAUCAAUAGAAUCAACGAAAAAACAAUUAACCAAGAAAGAUAAAGAAAGAUCCAGAAACAUCAAUGGUGAUACCAGAAACAAUUAAUCAAGACAUCAAUGGUGAUGAAACAUUAAGCAAAUGAAGGAUACCAGAUUAUAAUCAUUCAUCAUAAGAGAAAUUUGAGAAGAUGCAAGAUAUACAAUAGCAAUUGGGUGGCUCUGAUACCAUGACAAAGUCGAACUUAUUGCAUUCAUACAUUGAUUUCAAUGGAGGAUGAUACAGCCAUUUUCAGAGAGUAAAAAAUGAAAAGGAGAAGAGCUACAACAGUACAUAUAUAAAAGGAAAGGAGAGUAUAUAUAUAAGUGUACCAGGGGUAUUUAUGUAACAGAGUCAUUGAUCAAUGAAGGAAAGGAUAGUCUUUUGAUUCCAUCUCAUGCUUAGGUUAUUAAAUCUUCGGUGAUUGAAGGUAGUCCUCAUCGCUCCGAAAUUCAAGUAUUACGUUGACAGAGAAGCGAGGUCAGUCCAAGGCGGGUUUUCACCAGCUAAAAUCUGAAGCCAAUCUCUCUUUCAAGCUAGACAUAAAAUUAUUGUAGGAGUGGAUUCUUAGGUAAUAUUUGAGCGCAUAUUGCUUACAAUGUUGCACAUCCUAACUCUUCCCAUCAAAUUUUAAACAUUAGCUGCAGAUUGGAGACUGAUUUGUGAAGAAUUGAUCAAGAUCCCUCCCCCCACAAAAGAAUCUCUCGAUUGCUUUUGGUUUACUUGUGUGGUUUCCACAAGGAUUUUAAAGACUGUUGGUUUCCUAACACUGGAACAGUGUUUUUUUCCACUUAUUAAUCUCGACCCAAGACUAACUGAUCUUACCAAGACUCCAAAUGCCCAAAAUUUUUGUCUUUUCCGCUUAUUAAGUUCGACCGAGAUUAGUGUUAGUUGCUGGCAGAAACUUCUUCUAACACUCCUCUUGUUUCUUUCCAUUUCUAAACUUAUUUUGAGUCACCAACAUCAACAAUCUCCACCUUGACGCUAACUCGUGUUCAGCACCAAAUCCAUCAAAGCUCGUGCACAAACCAAGCAUCCCAACAAAUCCCAAACAAAGACUCAUUACUUACUUAGAACCAAGUAUCAACAUUCAACAAAUUCAUAAUGCUCCACCUGCUUCACGAUCCCAUAGGUAAGCUCCACCUAAAGACCAACACACCUCUUCCUAAGCUUCUCUAAAAUCGACCCCAAGAGCCUACAUAACAUAAGUAUCAAUAUUCAAUAAAUUAACGCCGUAGCAACCUCUUGAGAAAUAUCAAGUUAACCUACAAGACCUUUGAGUCGAAUAGGCUCCUUUGCUACAGAAGUUAACGCCAUAUACUUUGCUUCAAUGGUAGACAAAGUUAGUAAAGACUGUAAUGUGGACUUCCAACUCACCAUAGAACCGCCUAAGAUAAACACAUAACUAGUUGCAGAGAAAUUUUUUGCAAAUUAGUGUGUCAAAUUUAUCUUCAUUAGCAGUAGAAGACAAUAUCUCAAUUUGUAUGAUAGAUAUGAUUUUAUUCAAUACAGAGAUCAAGGGAUAAAAUUACUUUUUACUUGUUCUCUAAAUCAGGACUUCUCUAUAUAGUGGGGAGAUUGAUAACCUCUAGUGUUUAAUAUUCUUCUGGUGCUUACUCUUUCUGACUUGCUGCAACUGUAAAGACUUCAUUUCUGCUCUUGCUUUCUUUUGCUAAGUUCAAGUCUUUCAUUUGUUUCACUGCUUUGAUUAACGGCUAUUGAAUUGAUAAUGUGACGCUAUGGUGUAGGCUUUUUGUGGACAAUGGAGCCCUUAGAGGGGACUCUAAUUGGCUUGGAUUAACUUAGGUAUGUUCUCUGCAUGUAUGGGGGAGAUUAAAUUCCUAAAGAAGCAUCAAAUAUGCUGCUUCUAAAUUCUUUCUUUACGACUUCCUCUUUUGUUGAUGUUAGAUUUAGGUUACUUGGUCCAUCAAGUAAUUAGGACUUAAUUAAGGUAAUUAAUUAAGUGUGUUAGUUUGGUAAGAGAAGGAUCAAGUGUUCACUUGGGAUUGGAUGGAAGGAAGAAUCUUAGUACCAAGUGAUAGUUCAAGUUGCUUUGAGCAAGCCUUGGAGAGAAAGACAUGCAUCAAAGCCAAGACAAGUGUAGGGAAUGAAUUGGGUGAGUAGGGGACCAUUGGGACACGUUGAUGAAGCAAGCAAGCGAACCAGAAGCUUCCAAGUAGCAGGUGCUCAAACGAGCACACUGUGCCAGCAACAUUCUACCUCUUUUCUAUUCGUAUAGUAGUUGUCCAUUGUAUUGCCCUAUCUUCCACUAUAAAAUACUCCUACAUGUCCUAGGUUAUUAGGGAAGCCAAAAAGUCUUUGUAAAGCCCUCCUUCUUGCUUAUUUUAUUUCAUUAGCUCCUCUCUUUCUCAUCAAAACUGUAAUUCCUUCAAGUUUGUAGUUUGUCCUUUAAACACAUUAUUAAUACUAUCCUAGCUAGAUAGAGUGGAUGUAGUCUUUAUUUGGUGAACCACCUUAAAUCUUGAGCUGUAUAUUGCUUUGUUCAUCAUUGUCAUUCAUCACACACUUGUAUAUUUUGAUUCUUAUAUUCAUACACACCAUAGACAUCCAUUACAACCUCAAGUAUUGAUCUUUGGUGUGUGUGAGUAUCCCUCACUUCAAUGAAUAUUGUUCUGUUUGAUCAUUUAGCCCACUAAAUACAUUUUCUUGCUCUAAAAGUUAGUGGAGCUGUUCAUACUUGCAUGAACACAUAUGCUUUGUUUCUCACCUUCAUUUUAAACCCAAAUUUCAAAGAAUAAGACUUGUAAUUUCCAGUUAUAUAUAUAUCUCAACAGUUGAUGUCCUAGUUUUACAGAUUGUGGAGGAUUUUCUGUUUUUUCUCACGAUAUAAAAGCCGAUCUAUUUGAUUGUUGGUACUAAACAACUGUAAUGGAAAUGAUUUAUAGUGCAAAUUUUUAUUUUUUUUGUUCACAAUUCCUCACCAAACGAGAGUUGAAACCCUUGAUUUCAAAUUCUGCUGCGCGUUUCAUGAAUUAUGAAUGAGCAAUACAAGAAAUCUAGAUUUUAUUCUUUUUAAGUUAAACUUGUUAGUAGAUGUCUAUUCAUUUUUCAUCAUAUACUAUAACCAUGUUUAUUUUAGCAGUGUUUUGACAGAAGCAGAGAUAUUCUUGGUAAAUGGUAUGUUUCAGGCACCGUUUUGUGGCUGAUAUUGCAUAAUAUUCAUUCUGGCCCUCUCAAUUCCACUGAUUUUCUCCAAAGAGCACUAAUUGAGAGGGCAGGAGUAAGAUGUUAUCCUCUUCAAGUUCUGCAACAAGUAGUUUGAACUCGAGCAUUAUAAUGACUAAUGAGUAAAGGUGUUUAUCCGGUGAGGUUCAUUGUUUUCCAAAAUUAUAUGAUAGUAAGAGGAUUGGCUCAUCCAGUUGAUAUGCAAGUCAACGUUCUUGACCCGUGGAUUUGUGGGCCCGACCCCACGGGUGUCCCGUGUCCACACGAGUGGGUCACGGUGAGAUUAUGUGACAAAUUGUCAUGGUCUAACAUAGUUUAUCUGGUCUCUUAAAACAAGUUAAGUGUUUCGAGUCGGUUUAAAAUCUGUCUUGUGUCCAUAUUGGUUUUUACAUAAUUAUAAGUUCAUUUUUAAAGUCAAUUCAAAUCGGAUUCGAUUAGGAGUGGUUGAUUAGUGAAUGAAUUGUAUCAUUGUGUUGUUUGGGCUCAUUAAAUGCUGCAGUUGACUCUAAUACAGAAGUAUGGCCAUACAAACCACAUGUUAUGCACAUUGUGCUUGUUAUUAGACUGAAAACUGUGAGUAUUAUGGUUUAAGAGCCAGAGUAGACUUUGGUUACGGGCAAAUAUUAGUAAUUAAGGAUUUCAAAUAUUAGUAAUUUUAUAGAAUAAUUUGCGAAUUAUAAUUUUAAAGUUUAGUAUUUUUGCGAAUUAUAAUUAUAAUAUUUUUUUUUUCAAAUUACAACCAUUAAAGUGUUAAAAUUUACAGAUUCAAGCUAAAACACAGAAUUUCGACUAUUUUUUGAAAACAUACAAUACAUACAUAUUCUUAAAAGUUACCAGAUAGUCUUUCUCAAUUAGCAACACUUUUUAUUUUCUAUCUUUCUUUUAUUCUCAUUUACAAUUUUUUUUUCCAUCUAAAUCACUCAUUUUUCUUAUUUAUUUAUUUUUAUCUUAUUUUUAAUUUAAUUUUCAUUUUCACUAAUUUUCAAAUAAAUAUACAUUUUCGAGAGACACAUAGAAAAUGUCAUACAGUCCCUUUAUAUGGUCUACUCAUUCAGUCUUCUACUCAUUCAAUUACAUAUGUAUGUGGUGUAUCGUUGCCAAAAUUCAAUUAUACUUGAAAGAAAAAAAGUACGGAUUUUUGAUAUUUUACUUGGAUCUCAUUGUCCUGAGUCCCAUACGACAGUGUUUUUAAUUGUUAUAAAUUAUGAUAGAGAAAUAUUUAUUUGAUAAGGCUAAAAGACUAAUUUAAAAAUUUAUUGUUAUUUGCUAAAGUAGCAAUUGAGAUAGCAUUUGGUGAUGUAAGCAGUGAUUUUCAUGACGUUACAAACAUGUUCGGUGUAUAGUAGUUGUGUAACUAACUGCUUGUUUCGGAUAGUUGUAGUUGUAUAAUUGUAAUUAUUAUAAAUUUAAGUGCAUAAAUAAAUAGAUAAUAUUAAUAUGGAUCAUUUUAAGUUAAUCCAAAAUAUCUCAUGGAAAUUAUUGGUAUGAACUGGCCAGGGAGUUUGGCGGUAAGCUAAAAUAGGGUUUAGCUACAUCUAUCCACCAGGUAGUUAUUUAUGUAAGGUGAAAAUUGAUGAUUAGUUGAUAAAUUCUUAUAUAUGCUUUUGAGUUUUGAUAUGUAAUUGGUGAAUAACAGAUGCAUAUAAUCUUUAUAUUCUUAAUGAUACCUUAAAAUGGAUAGCUUAUUUAAUGGAUUCCGCCAAAAUAUAUGAUUUUAAAGAAAUUAUAAAUUAUAUUACAACUCAAUCAUCAACAAUUCAUCAAAGUGAGAAUUUUUUAAAUUAAAUGUUGGAAAGUGAGUGAGAUCAAAUAAUAGACAAUAGAAUAAACUAAAAAGUUGCUUUCAUUAAUAAAUGAAGUGGUCCUUAAUAUUGUAUUAUAACUUAUGGUUUACAAAAUUCAUGGACAUUUCUUGGUAUCUUUUAUACUUGUGCACAAGUCAAGAAUGAAGAUGGCAUAAUAUUGCAAUCACAAGUUAAAUUGUGAGCCUCUAGUGGGUGUCAUAGCCCAUCACAGGGUCUAAUCUUGAGCUCAUUAAUAGAACCUAAUCAUUUGCUCCCAACAUCACAGCAAAAUGAAAAUUAGUUUUGGGAUUUUUUUUCCACUAGUAUAAUGAUGAUCAUAAUUUUUAAAAUGAAAUGUUAUAGGGUUUUUCGUAUGACAGUCAUAAAUUGUUAAUUGUUAAUUGUUGAUGAGUGGACAUAUUAUGAAAGAUAAUUUGAAAUGAUAGAAAAUUAAAACUCAAGAGAUUUAAAAGAGGGUGAGAAAGGCUCAAAGAUAAUUUGCAGAAUAAAAGUGAAAAAAGGAUAUAAAGGGUUAGACACUUGAGUUGAAAUGGGUGAAAUACAAAAAUUAUGUCUUUCUCAGAUUGAGAGUAAGUAUUAUUUUUCCAAGCAAAAUCUUAAUUCCUUUCAUUUAACUAUUAAUUUUGCUCUAACUUUUUUGUAUUUAAAUAAAGUUAAAUAAAAGUAUUUACAUAAAGAUUCUAGAGAAAUUUGGAUGAAAUUGGAUAAGUGAUGGCAAAAUUUGAAUGUAUUUAGUAUAUAGGAGGAUUUUAAAUAGAAAUUAGGUUUAAAUUAAGAAAAGGUAGCAAUAAACAAGUACCAAGGACUACUAGUAAUGGGGAGCAUAAUGUUCUAGAGAAAUAUUGAGGGACUUUUCUCUCGUUUACUAGUUCUUCGCGAAGUACGUGUGCAAGGCGUGUAGAGUAGCGUGUCCCAAAAAGGUGUUUCAACUCUUCUAAAUCCAAGCAUUAACUUUUAUUAUUAUUACUCACUUUUAGUUUUAGUUUCCAAAUUUGUGGUUAACAUAAUGUUUAUUGUGGAUUAUAGGAUAGGUUAAGAAAAGAAGAGCAUUGGGCGUGAUUCUAUUUUAUUUUUUUGUUUAAAAAUAGUACUGCUUGUUCUAUUAA